rnacentral:rRNA from 1 species
AGCAGGCGCGUAAAUUGCCCGAAUCCUGACAUAGGGAGGUAGUGACAAGAAAUAACAAUACAGGGCUCUCUGAGUCUUGUAAUUGGAAUGAGUACAAUUUACAUCUCUUCACGAGGAUCAAUUGGAGGGCAAGUCUGGUGCCAGCAGCCGCGGUAAUUCCAGCUCCAAUAGCGUAUAUUAAAGUUGUUGCAGUUAGAACGCUCGUAGUCGGAUUUCGGGGCGGGACGACCGGUCUGCCGAUGGGUAUGCACUGGUGGUCGCGUCCUUCCUUCCGGAGACCGUGCCUACUCUUAACUGAGCGGGUGCGGGAGACGGAUCGUUUACUUUGAAAAAAUCAGAGUGUUUCAAGCAGGCAGCUCGCUCCUGCAUGGAAUAGCAUGGGAUAAUGAAAUAGGACUUUGGUGCUAUUUUGUUGGUUUCGAACACCGAAGUAAUGAUUAACAGGGACAGUCAGGGGCACUCGUAUUCCGCCGAGAGAGGUGAAAUUCUCAGACCAGCGGAAGACGAACUACUGCGGAAGCAUUUGCCAGGGAUGUUUUCACUGAUCAAGAACGAAAGUUAGGGGAUCGAAGAGGAUCAGAUACCCUCGUAGUCUUAACCAUAAACCAUGCCGACUAGGGAUUGGGGGAUGUUCACAUAUUGACUCCCUCAGCACCUUACGGGAAACUAAAGUCUUUGGGUUCCGGGGGGAGUAUGGUCGCAAGGCUGAAACUUAAAGGAAUUGACGGAAGGGCACCACCAGGUGUGGAGCCUGCGGCUUAAUUUGACUCAACACGGGGAAACUUACCAGGUCCAGACAUUGUGAGGAUUGACAGAUUGAGAGCUCUUUCUUGAUUCGAUGGGUGGUGGUGCAUGGCCGUUCUUAGUUGGUGGAGUGAUUUGUCUGGGUUAAUUCCGUUAACGAACGAGACCUUAGCCUGCUAAAUAGUGACGCGAACACCUCGUUCGCGGUCCACUUCUUAGAGGGACAACUUGUCUUCAACAAGUGGAAGUUUGAGGCAAUAACAGGUCUGUGAUGCCCUUAGAUGUUCUGGGCCGCACGCGCGCUACACUGAUGCACUCAACGAGUCUCACCUUGACCGAAAGGUCCGGGAAACCUUCGAACUUGCAUCGUGACGGGGAUAGAUUAUUGCAACUAUUAAUCUUCAACGAGGAAUACCUAGUAAGCGCAUGUCAUCAGCGCACGUUGA